rnacentral:rRNA from 1 species
CCUACGGGUGGCAGCAGUGGGGAAUAUUGCACAAUGGGGGAAACCCUGAUGCAGCGAUGCCGCGUGUGUGAAGAAGUAAUUCGUUAUGUAAAGCUCUAUCAGCAGGGAAGAAAGUGACGGUGUCUGAGUCAGAAGCCCCUGAUAACUACGUGACAGCAGCCGCGGUAAUACGUAGGGGGAAAGCGUUCGGCGGAUUUAAGGGGGGAAAAGGGAGCGGAGAAGGCAGUGCAAGUCUGGAGUGAAAGGCGGGGGCUCAACCCCCGGACUGCUCUGGAAACUGUACGGCUGGAGUGCAGGAGAGGGUAGUGGAAUUUCUAGUGUAGCGGUGAAAUGCGUAGAUAUUAGGAGGAACACCAGUGGCGAAGGCGACCUACUGGACUGUAACUGACGUUGAGGCGCGAAAGCGUGGGGAGCAAACAGGAUUAGAUACCCCGGUAGUC